rnacentral:rRNA from 1 species
AUUGAACGCUGGCGGCAUGCCUUACACAUGCAAGUCGAACGGCAGCACGGACUUCGGUCUGGUGGCGAGUGGCGAACGGGUGAGUAAUGUAUCGGAACGUACCUUUCAGUGGGGGAUAACGUAGCGAAAGUUACGCUAAUACCGCAUAUUCUGUGAGCAGGAAAGCAGGGGAUCGCAAGACCUUGCGCUGAUUGAGCGGCCGAUAUCAGAUUAGCUAGUUGGUGGGGUAAAGGCCUACCAAGGCUACGAUCUGUAGCGGGUCUGAGAGGAUGAUCCGCCACACUGGAACUGAGACACGGUCCAGACUCCUACGGGAGGCAGCAGUGGGGAAUUUUGGACAAUGGGGGCAACCCUGAUCCAGCCAUGCCGCGUGAGUGAAGAAGGCCUUC